rnacentral:rRNA from 1 species
GAUGAACGCUGGCGGCGUGCCUAACACAUGCAAGUCGAACGGAGUCGUUUUGGAAAUCUCUUCGGAGAUGGAAUUCUCGACUUAGUGGCGGACGGGUGAGUAACGCGUGAGCAAUCUGCCUUUAAGAGGGGGAUAACAGUCGGAAACGGCUGCUAAUACCGCAUAAAGCAUUAAAUUCGCAUGUUUUUGAUGCCACAGGAGCAAUCCGCUUUUAGAUGAGCUCGCGUCUGAUUAGCUAGUUGGCGGGGUAACGGCCCACCAAGGCGACGAUCAGUAGCCGGACUGAGAGGUUGAACGGCCACAUUGGGACUGAGACACGGCCCAGGCGCCUACGGGAGGCAGCAGUGGGGAAUAUUGCGCAAUGGGGGAAACCCUGACGAAGCAACGCCGCGUGAUUGAAGAAGGCCUUCGGGUUGUAAAGAUCUUUAAUCAGGGACGAAACAAAUGAUGGUACCUGAAGAAUAAGCUCCGGCUAACUACGUG